GAUUUCCAUGGCUGAUUCAGGCCAAUCGGGAUUCAUCCUGGGUUCAGGAUGAGCCUCACUGCCUAGGGAUGAAGGGACCUCUGCUGAACCUUUUGAAACAAAAUUGGGAGGGAACAACUAUUGGAUAAUCAUGAGGACCCAGUCUGAAGUUGGGCUUUGCACCCAGACACUCUGCUCUGAGAGGGUGAGUUCAGCUCUCAACUUUCUCGUUUGCCCUGACCACUGCCCAUGGUCAGUCUACUGCUUCCUUGGGUUUCCAUUCUUCAUUGCAAAGCCCACCAAGGGGUCUUCUUUAGAUUCAGCUAAACCUUCAGACUCACAAGUUAUGGGAUCUACUUGACGUCCAUCUACUCAGAAGAUAUGGGACAGGAGCCACGCUUUGCCAGCAAAGCAGAGUUCAGCAUUCCUCUCAGCUGGAGCUCUGUCAGCUGUUGUGUACACAACAGGGAGAUGAACCCACAUCAGGAGUACAUGGGAUCUGCCCUGGCUUCACAGCUUCGUACCCCCAAAGGGCACCAAUGUAUCUUGUAACCGCUACAGUGGUAUAGCUUCCAGGUUCCCCUAAGGGUCAUGUCUGAUGAUAAGGGUUACCACACUCAGAGAAGUCCCCACACAGGACAUCCUAACCGGGUUCAUUGAUAGUUUCUUCUGGUCCAUAUGUAAGCUACCUGUCAGGAUCAUUUUUACCAUAACUGAUGUUGCCUAGGAACAUAGUUGACAUUUUAAUUUUAUCAGAUGUCAGGAGAACAGGGGUAAUCAGAGGUUGAAUUCUCACAUGGAGGGCGAGCAAGUUUGCUCCAUUAAACCUUUGCCCAUGCCCAUAUCACAUAAAAGCCAAUUUGCUUAGUCUGGUACUCAAGGGCAUCUGCAGCUGCAGAGGGGCCUUUCCAGGUUAAUUCCCCUCCCCUCCAUCUUAAGCAUCAGUCGUAUCUAAUGUCUCACCAUUUUCUGGGAACACUUCACACUUUCAUAUUGUCUAAACUUCUCACCCCAAAGGUUUCCCCACUCGUAAACGCUCCUCCCAUGUCCAUUUGCACCCUGUUUUCCAAUUCAUCUUCCCUUGUGAGGGCCAAGACCAAAUGUGACGGCUUCUAUUAAAUGUUUCCCUGACGUGACUCCCCAGGCAGAGUUAGUCAUUCUCAUCUCUGCCCCCACAGCAUUUUAUUCACACCAUUGUUUACAAUGAAAAAAGACGGAAGGUACAUGACAGAUGUCACCUUGACUUUCAGUGAAUUCCACUGGCAUCUUCAGCAAGACUGGCAGCCUCUGGAGCACAGGGCAGUCUUGGUCUUCGUGUCCCUGGACUUCGCAAAGUAUGAGCGUGUUGUGGAUGCCCCAGAAAUAUUGUAGAGAGUUUACUGAAAUCACAUCGAUUCCCAUGAUAGAUCUUAAAAAUUCCUGAACCAUUUUAAAGGUGAAAAAGCCGACGUUCACAGUGUUUUGUAAAGGUUUGUAAUAAUUGCAAGCACUUCUUGCGAGCUUAAUUUAUGGCCACAGUUGACAUUUCUACAGUUAAUCGUCACUACAGUCUUAUGGGGUAAACACUCUUCUUGUCCCCAUUUAACUGAUGAGGAAACUCAGGUUUAGAGAAGUUGAGUGACUUGCCCAUGAUCACACAGCUGUCGAGAGGUGGAGCUGGGAUUCAAACCCAGGCAGGCUGGCUACGGAGUCUGACUCGCACCCCGAUGGUCUAGUACCUCUCAUACAUUGGAGGAUGCCAAUGGGCAAGCCAAGGGCCAUAAAGACCUUUUAUUCUGAUUUUCUGAAAAGAUCAACAAGUUUAGAGUUUAGGGUACUUAUUCUGCUCCCCUUCUCCCCAGGGUCUGUGGAGAACAAUUUUGAGGUCAUCUUUAAGUUUCACCAUUGUAGGACCCACUGGAACAAUUGAUAAGUUGAGUAAAAUAAUCUAUUUACUGUCUUAUUGGGACACUGUAGAGAUUAUUUUUAUAACAUUAGUGAAAUGCACUGUAACGUUUUGACUUUUGGCCUCAAAGAUGAUUUUGGCAAUUUGGGUCGUCAUGAUGGGAGUUUGAUAUGUCUAGGUAAUUGAUAUGGAUAAGUGAUUUCAUAGACAAAGAAGACAAGGAAGGAUUGAAGCUCACAGCACCAGGGAUAUAUUUUUCUUAGUGUUAAUAUUUACGAUAUCAGGUUUUUUUGUUUUUUUUUAAAGAUUUUAUUUUUUCCUUUUUCUCCCCAAAGCCCCCCGGUACAUAGCCCCCGGUACAUAGUUGUAUAUUCUUCGUUGUGGGUCCUUCCAGUUGUGGCAUGUGGGACGCUGCCUCAGCGUGGUCUGAUGAGUAGUGCCAUGUCUGCGCCCAGGAUUCGAACCAACGAAACACUGGGCCGCCUGCAGUGGAGCGCGCGAACUUAACCACUCGGCCACGGGGCCAGCCCCUACGAUAUCAGGUUUUUGACUUUACAAAUUAUUAUGUUAACAUAGAUAUCCUCCAUAUACAUAUAUAUCUGUAUUCCAUUUGUAUUAUAUAAGAGCAAUAGCAUCCAUCAUUUAAAGAAGUUGUCCGACAGUCUCGAAUCAAAGACAGAAAUGUGUGAUAUUUUAUCCUUUACCUUUGAUAUUUUAAAUCACAUGUUAUGUUUUAUCCAUAUUCAUAUAUACCAGGUACACUAAAAUAAAAGUGUUUUAAAUGGUCUCUUGGACUAUUUU
rnacentral:lncRNA from 1 species